UCCACUAGUCUUCUUGGGCUAAGAUGGCGAGCUCUCUGUAUCGGGUUUGGAGUUGAUACGAUGCUGUCUAAUUAAAUAAAAAUGAUGCGUUUGGAUGAUUAAUUAAGCAGUGCGUGGUGGGAAGCAAGGAACACGUGUAUGGAAUUGAAGCUUCUCUUUCUCUCUUCUGUUAAUUACAAUGGUAGACUAGGCUAGCUUUAUUUGAUGAGCUGUACAGAUUUGGGUGAUACGUUCUGACGUUGAGUUAUAUAACAUGGUUUGUUAAUGGGUUCUAUAUCGAAAAUUUCUUGAAUCAAAGACGCUUCUCUAUAAUUCUGUGUUUUUAUGUGCUUUUUUUUUCUUGAGUGUAUCAAUUAGCAUCAGCACUUGCGAUUCUUGGCCAUGGCUGAAGGAACAAGAUUGCAGGAAUGAAGGAAAGAGAUGGCUUAUCUAAUUUUAGAGCCGAAGCAUAGGUAGAAGGCCAAACAGACUAGAACGCAUGUUACAAGAGUUAAUGGGUGAGCUCAAAUCCUUAUUGGUAGGAGGGCAGAGACUGGAGGUUCAAGUAGAAUUCAGUCAAGGAAAUGAUCAAACCUCUACAGGAACUAAUAUGGAGUCUCAAUGUCCUUGGGGUAGUUCCACUGAAUUGGAAUUGCCAAGGUUUGAAGGAGAUUGGAAUAGAGGGAUGGUUGCUAAGACGUGAAUACUUCUUUGAGGUGGGUAAAAUUACUUUUGAGAAUAGAGUCACAGUGGCAACAAUCCAUCUGGAUUGGAGGGCACUUCAAUGGCAUCAAAAUUUUUUCAUGCUCCAUGGCAAUGAGGCAUUUGCAGACUGGGAUUCAUGUGAGGUAUUUGACUGCCAGAUUUGAUAGAAAUGCUUAUGAAGACCCUUUGGCUGACCUGAGAAACCUGAGGCAGGAUGGGUCUCUUCAGGAGUAUUUAGAUGUUUUUUAUCAAAUUAAUACAUCAAAAAACAAGUAUUAAUGAAGGACAAGCUCUUUCCUUCUUUUUAUCUGGCUCAAGUGAUGAUGUGCAAAUGGUUGCGAGGAUGUUUAAACUCAAGGAUUUAGUUGAAGUCUAUUUCUUAGCCCAACUCUAAGAACUGAAUGUGGCUUUCAUUCAACAAAGACCAAAACCAAAUAAACCUAUCCUUGUUUACUCUAACACCAAUAGCUAUAAAAAAUUCCUCACACUCACUACCACUACUUCUCAAAAUAAACCACCAAAUACCCUUACCAAAACCCAAUCACCAACCCAAAGUCAAAAUCAAAACACUGCUGGAAUUAAGUCACAGACCAGCUCUACUACAAAUAGGCCUUGAAGACCCUUUUUGACAAUUAAAGAGAUGGAUGAGAAAAAAACUAAGAAAUUGUGUUUCUAGUGUGACUUCAAGAACUGAACGUGGUUGUCAUUCAACAAAGACCAAAACCAAAUAAACCUACCCUUAUUCACCCUAACACCUAUAGCUAUAAAAAAUCCCUCACACUCACUACCACUACUUCUCAAAAUAAACCACCAAAUACCCUUACCAAAACCCAAUCACCAACCCAAAGUCAAAACCAAAACACUGUUGGAAUUAAGUCACAGACCAGCUCUAGUACAAAUAGGCCCUUAAGACCCUUUUUGACAAGUAAAGAGAUGGAUGAGAAAAGAGCUAAGAACUUGUGUUUCUAGUGUGAUGAAAGGUUUUUGCCUUGCAAUAAAUGUAAAAAAAGGCAGUUAUAUGUAUUGCAGAUCCAAUACAUUAUUGAUGAGGAAGACUUAGAACAAGUGGAUGUAGAAGUUGAGAAAGGACAUGAUGAUGGGCUAGCUGGUCAACUCUCAUUGAAUGCUAUAUGGGGGGCUAGAACUAAUCAUACUAUGAUGUUGAAAGGAUUAUGUAAUAAGGUGAGAAUGCACAUACUAGUAGACACUAAAAGUACCCAUAACUUUAUUCAUGAACACUUAGUGCAGAAAUUGAAGCUAGCCUGUAUAGGGUCUGGCAUUUAGGUGGAGGUGGCUAAUGGGCAGGAGCUUAAAUGUAAUUCUAUGUGGAAAAAUUUUGAAUGGAUGAUGCAAGGAUAGAAGUUUAACACUGAUGUUUACCUACUGUCUUUGGGUUUGGGAAUUUAGUGGCUCAGGACCUUAGGCAAAAUUGAAUAAGACUUUAAAGCUCUUACCAUGGAUUUCUCUAUUCAAGGCCAGCCCUAUUCCUUGCAUGGUGAGAUCAUAGAGCUACCUGAGCACAGAUUCAAUGUUUUGGCUGUCAAAAGAGUGGAAGGAUUUGGACAGUUGAAGGAGAAAAACCUAGCUCAAUUGCAUAAGGUAAAAGGGCAAAAUACUGAGAGGUUUGAGUUAAGGGAUUUGCUCCAGCAGUUUGAUGAUGUAUUUAGAGAACCCAAGGGCUUACCACCUUAGAGAAUCUAUGAUCAUAGCAUUCCCAUUAACCCAGGAUCUUCACCAGUGAACUCAAGACCUUAUAGGUAUGCUCUUGAACAAAAGAAGGUUAUAGAAUCAAUGAUAGAAGAAAUGUGAGCAACAAGAAUUAUUGAACAUAGUUAUAGCCCCUAAGCAAGUCCUAUAGUGCUUGUGAAAUAAAAGGAUAACUCUUGGAGAAUGUGUGUAGAUUACAAAAGUAUGAAUGCCAUUACCAUUAAAGAUCCCAUUCCCUUAAUUAAGAAAUUGUUGGAAGAGUUAGGGGGUUCUAUCAUUUUUUCUAAAAUUGACCUUAGGGCUGGAUACUGCCAAGUCAAAAUGAGACCUGAAGAUGUUCAUACGACUGCAUUUAGGACAUAUGAAGGCCAUUAUAAGUUCUUAGUGAUGUCUUUUGGGCUCACAAAUGCACCUUCAACCUUCUAAUCACUUAUGAAUGCAGUGUUUAAGUCUUAUCUCAGGAGAUUUGUACUUGUCUUCUUUGAUGACAUAUUGGUCUAUAGUAAGACUAACGAUGAGCAGUUAUUACACUUGAAGACUAUCUUGACUAUCAUGAGGGAAAACUAAUUGUAUGCUAAAGGUAGCAAAUGCCAAUUUGCAGUUCCCUCUAUUGAAUAUUUAGGCCAUGUUAUAUCUGAAAAGGGGUGCAAACUGAUUCAAAGAAAAUUGAAGCAGUGUUAUCAUGGCCCAUACCACGAACUGUUAAGCAGUUAAGGAGCUUUCUGGGUCUUACAGGAUAUUACACAAGGUUUGUCCAGAAUUAUGGAUAGUUGGCUAAACCACUCACUGAGCUAUUGAAAAAGGGAAGUUUCACUUGGUAGGAAGCAACUAUUGUGACUUUUGAAAAAUUGAAGACAGUUAUAUUUUCAGUUCCUGUGUUGGCAUUGCCAGAUUUUUCCAAGACUUUUUUAGUGGACAUAGAUGCUUCUGGAGAGGGAAUUGGAGCUGUGCUUAUACAAGAAGCUCAUUCCCUAGCUUAUAUCAGUAAGGCCUUCUCUUUCAAAAACAAAUGCUUGUCUACCUAUGAGAAAGAAAUGUUGGUAGUGUUAUUAGCAAUUAAAUAUUGGGAGCAUUACUCACUUCCAAGACAUUUCAUCAUUAAAACUGAUCACAAAAGCCUCAAAUUUCUUCUGGAUCAAAGAAUGUCUACUUCUGCUCAGCAUGCAUGGUUAAUCAUGUUGCAGCUCUUUGAUUAUGAGAGCUCAGAGAAUAGAGCUAUUGAUGCCCUGUCAAGGAGGCCAGGUGGAGUUUUAGUAGCUAUCACAACUCAAAUUCUGCCAAAUCAAUUGAUGGUGGCCAUUAAAGCUAGCUGGCAAACUGAUGAAGCAUUGUCUAGACUGAUUGCAAAACCUCAAACUAAUCCAAAUGCUCAUCCUAAAUACACUUGGAGGCAAGAUCAAUUAAGGAGAAAGGGAAGACUGGUAGUGGAUAAUUCUGCAGACUUAAGAAGUAAAUUGAUUGAACUGUAUUAUGACACAGGCAUUGGAGGUCAUUCUGGAGUUAGUACUACUGUGAGAAGAAUGUUUUCAAUUAUAUACUAGAAAGGAUUAUGGAAGAUGGUAAGAGAAUAUAUUAGAAAUUGUUCCAUUUGUCAAAGGAACCAAUACGAGAAUGUAGUCGGUCUAGGUACUCUGCAACCUCUCCCAAUUCCUCAAGGUCUAUUUACUGACACCACUAUGGAUUUCAUAGAAGGAUUGCCUAAAUCUCAUAAUAAAUUAGUGAUUUUUGUCAUAGUGGAUAGGUUCACUAAGUUUGCACAUUUCAUUCCAUUAUCGCAUCCUUAUUCUACAAAAUCAAUUGCAUAAGCAUUCUUGAAUAAUGUCUUUAAGUUGAUGGCUUACCAGAUUCAAUUGUGAGUGAUAGAUAUCCUAUUUUUACCAGCAAUUUUUGGAAGGAGUUCUUUAAGUUACAAGGAGUAUCACCACAUUUGUCCACUGCUUACCAUCCUCAACCUAAUGGUUAAAGUGAAGUAGUAAACAAGUGUCUGAAAAAUUAUCUGAGAUGCAUGUUUGAUGAUUUGCCUCAUUCUUGAACACAGUGGUUGUCUUUGGCAGAGUUUUGGUAUAAUACUUCUUAUCAUUCUUCAAUUCAGAUGACACAAUUUGAGGCCCUUUAUGGUGUGCUCCCUCCAUUACACAUCCCUUAUAUGCCUAAGGAUUCAAGCGUGGAAGCUGUUGACAUUUAUAUGAGAGACAAGGAAUCUGCUAUUAAUUUACUUAAGCAACAUCUCACUAAGGCUGCUGGCAGAAUGAAACAGAUAACAGACAAGAGAAGGUCAGAGAGGGUGUUCGAGAUAGGUGACAUGGUUUAUUUGAAACUCAAGCCAUUUGGUCCCUGGGAUACCCGAGGAGCACCUUCGCAGGAGGGUAAUGCUAUUCUCUCCUCCUUAUUUUUUUCGAUGGAUCAUUCUUUUGUUGUUUCUUGAAGUUCAUAGUUUAGGGAUGAGUUGGAUGCAUUUCUACUUCAGUUUUUAGGUGGAUUUAUUGAUUAGGGUUGUAGAAGUUUUGCAUUUCAAUCUAUAAUAUCUUUAUUUAAUAGGAGGAGAUUUUGGAGUUACAUUUCAAUCCAUUAAGUUUGAACUUGGAACUUAUAGGGGGAAGAGUGAGUUAUGAUGUUUCUGUGUCACUCAAAGCUCUUAGAUCAUUCUUUAGGCAAG
rnacentral:lncRNA from 1 species